UACGGAAGGGGCUAGCGUUGUUCGGAAUUACUGGGCGUAAAGCGCGCGUAGGCGGACCUGCAAGUCGGGGGUGAAAGCCCGAGGCUCAACCUCGGAACUGCCUUCGAUACUGCGGGUCUCGAGUCCGGGAGAGGUGAGUGGAAUUCCUAGUGUAGAGGUGAAAUUCGUAGAUAUUAGGAAGAACACCAGUGGCGAAGGCGGCUCACUGGCCCGGUACUGACGCUGAGGCGCGAAAGCGUGGGGAGCAAACAGG
rnacentral:rRNA from 1 species